GGCUCAAUGCCACGUCGCCGGUAGCUCAAAGAGCAUUGACCGGCGAUGCUAUGAUUGGGCCAAGAUCGAUUUCUGUGUUUCGCAUCUUGAUAGGAACCUGUGGAUCUUUUUUACUGGUUUUCCACGGAGCCGUUUUGUGCGAUUACAUAU